CUUCUCACUUUAACCCUAUCCGCCCCGCCCCUGCCCCCAAUUUCCUCCGCCGCCGCCGUCCUCGGACCCGUCCCUGCCGCCACCGGCGGCCAUAGCCUCGAGCUCCCGCCCCUGCAUUGCCUGCCUUCCCUUGGCCUCUUCGCUGCCACCACAUGGGCAUCUUCGUUGGCCCGAGUCCCCACCGAUGGUGGUGAGAAUAUCCCAUUUCCCCUAACCCCAUCGCUGCAUGCCUUCCCCAGUGCCGCGGCCGUCGACAGCCCCGUCCGCCGGGGCCUUCACCGCCCACCGCUAGCUGAGGUCCAAGACAGCGCCCUCCUCUUGCUCCUCUCAGGGAAGGAUCUCGUCUCCAGCAAGCUCGACCAGGCGCCCACGCCGCCACCAAAAGCGCGAUGUCUUGAAAGGUUGUGCUAGAGGCAUGCCGCUGGCACCGAUGGGCCCUCAUUUAUCUUAUACAAUCCAUUUCAGAAUAUGACGUGGUAAGUCUGCAAAUGGAAUGGAUGGAUCCAUCAUUUUGCCAUCCUGAUGCUUGUACAGGGUUUCCUUUUUGUUGACCAGUUCAACUAGUCCAUCAUCUUAAACUAGGCUCGAGAAAUGAAGGUUCAGUUUAUGAGAAACAAUUUAAAUAUGUAUCAGCUUACUAUCUUGGCACAUGAGCUAUUUUUCAGUCAACGCGUGGCGGGUCCACUUGGAACUGAAUAGGCACUGGUCCUUCUUCUUCUUACUCUCCAUGAGCCCCUUAUACUACUGCUAUGGUUUAUGUGCCUACUUUUAACUCUGUCAACUAAAAUUGGGUUGCUUUGUUUCAGCUGAUCUGAUACUGUGGGUGGGAUCUAUAGAACAACCUUGAAAUCUGUCUGCGACCAGUCCACAUUCUGCACCACUCCCACAACUUGAACACCAAGGUCUUUGCCAUUUAAAUGGUUGAGAGAAUAAACUGGAUGGCUGACAAUCCGAGAAGGGCGUUGAACAAAGUGGUGGUAUCAUGGUCAAUUAUCUGUACAGCUGGGAACCACAACCACCAGCAUGCUGUGUGGGCAAUGGGCAGAGAGCAGAUGGCUACAUCGCUGGGAACCAUGGUCACCCACAUGCAGCAGAUAACGAAUGGUGGAUGGAAGGCUACCUCGCUGGGAACCAUGGUCACCCACAUGCAACAGAUAACGAAUGGUGGAUGGAAGGCUACCUCGCUGGGAACCAGGACCAUGACUUAUUAUGGGAAAUCGGUGGCGAACGGAUGGCUACCUCGCCGGGUACCUCAACUCCUAGGCACUUGGCCAACUGGUGCAUGGACGUGAUGACUUUGUGGCGUUUAUGGACCAAUCAACUUGUAAUCAUGGAUCUUAUGUGUCUUCUAGACCAUUUGUUGUUUUGUUAUUUCGGAGCUUGCAUUUUGUGCAUGUGGAUACAGACUUGUAUGUUCUGGACCAUCUAGUUGAAGUCUCUCAUACCAGCAAAUAGCGCUAUCUUUUUGUGACUUGUGUGUUCUGGAUGAUUGUUAAGAUGGUAAAAACUAUGCUUUGUCAAGAUUGAUGUGUUUGUCAUAUGCACGUUUGUGAAUAUAUUUCAUUGUUGUACA